rnacentral:sRNA from 1 species
UGACCAUCACUAGGGGGAAGAGACUGCC